rnacentral:lncRNA from 1 species
UUUUUUAACCAAAAUCCAUUUAUUUGUCACAAAACCCCGAGCCCGGCGGGUGCUGGGGGGGGCGCCGCUGCCUGAGCCCCCCGGGGGCUCUGCCCAGCCCCUGCCACAGCUUUCCCUUCCCACAAGCAGGACCCCAGAGCAAGCCAGGCUCCGGGGCAGGAGGAGGUGGGGUCCCCCCCAAGGAGACCAGCUCGGGGGGCACCGGGGGGGUUUAGGUGCGGAACAGCGUCUCCUGGGUGGCGGGGUCCAGCUUGCCCCCCGGCGCCGGCGCCCCCUUGCCCCCUUGGCCCGAGGAGUAGCUGGCGGAGCGCUCGGUGCCGGGCCCGGGGGGGCGGCAGCACAGGAGCGCGGCGCAGGCGCGGCGGAACCGCCGGUCGAAGAAGGCGUAGAGGAAGGGGUUGAGGCAGCUGUUGAUGUAGGCGAUGCCGGAGCAGUAGGGGUGCAGGUUGCUGAGGAAGGUGUGGAGGCCGCAGGACCACGGCAGCACGCCCAGGUCCAUCAGCACGUAGAGGGUCUUCACCAGGUGGAAGGGCAGCCAGCAGCCCCCGAAGGCGGCCACCAGCACCGUGAUGAUGGUGAGGAGGCGCUUGCGCUUGCGGGGCCCCUCGGCCCGCUCCCGGUGGAAGUGGCUGGCCACGGUGCGCGCGAUGAAGAAGUAGCAGGUCAGCAUGACGGCGAAGGGGGCCACGAAGCCGAGCGCGGUGGAGGAGAGCCCCAGCCCCACCUCCCAGGCGCCCUCGGUGCCCGGCGCCGCCAGGCCCCCGUAGUCCAUGUAGCAGGUGAUCCUGGUGUCCCCCCCCAGCGCGGCCGCGCGCCGCAGCACCAGGGCCGGCAGCGCCAGCAGCGCCGCCAGCGCCCACAGGGCCACGGUGGCCACCAGCCCGCUGACCCGGGAGCGCAGCUUGGCGGUGGCCAGCGGCCGCACGAUGGCCAGGUAGCGGUCGAAGCUCAGCCCCGUCAGGCAGAAGACGCUGGCGUACAUGUUGACGAACACCAGGUAGCUGCUGACCUUGCAGGCGGCCGUGCCGAAGGGCCAGUGGUAGCCCAGCCAGGCGUAGGCAGCCCACAGGGGCAGCGUGGCCACGAAGGUGAGGUCGGCAGCUGCCAGGUUGGCGAUGAAGGUGUCGGCCGAGCGCCGCCGGUCCUGCCCGCCCUUGAAGACGGUCCAGAGCACCAGCCCGUUGCCCGCCGUGCCCAGCAGGAACACCAGCAGGUAGAUGGUGGGCAGCAGGGCCAGGGAGGGGCCCCACUCCGCGUACUCGCACUCCGUGUCGUUGUCCCCAUAGGCAUAGGCCUCCGUCGCCUCCUCCAUGCCGCCGGCCUGGGCUGGGCUGGGCUCAGCUCAUCCCGUGCUCACCGAGCUCC